UCCCCUCUCAGUGCUAUGAUUAUAUUUAAAACGUUCCUGUUUCACCACUCAAAAGUCCCACUUGUCCCCUUUCAGUGCUAUGAUUACAUUUGAUAUACGUUUGAUAUAUAUUUGAUUGUAUUUGUCAAUUGAGGAAUCAUUUAUAUGGAAAUGUGAAAGGCAUUUUUUUAUGGGACAAGCAGGGUUCAUUCAAGACAAGGAUAAGUAAUAUCAUCCCAACCCCCACUCGAUCAAGGUUUUAAACUUUAUGACUCAAACCCGCAUGGUGAACUUAUAUAAUUGACAGAAUCAGCCUCAAAUUCUUGAAGAUCUUAAACUAUUGAGAUCUUUUUGGUUGUCUUCAGAUAGAGAUAUCUUCAGUGAUGCCAGUCCAAAGUAUUAUCACAAAUAGGGAUGGCAAGGUGCAAGGGCAGAGCACGUUUUACUUAAAGCGUCCCUUUUUCACCACUCAAAAAUCCCACUUGUCCCCUCUCAGUGCUAUGAUUAUAUUUAAAACGUUCCUGUUUCACCACUCAAAAGUCCCACUUGUCCCCCUUCAGUGCUAUGAUUACAUUUGAUAUAUGUUUGAUAUAUAUUUGAUUGUAUUUGUCAAUUGAGGAAUCAUUUAUCUGGAAAUGUGAAAGGCAUUUUUUUAUGGGACAAGCAGGGUUCAUUCAAGACAAGGAUAAGUAAUAUCAUCCCAACCCCCACUCGAUCAAGGUUUUAAACUUUAUGACUCAAACCCGCAUGGUGAACUUAUAUAAUUGACAGAAUCAGCCUCUAUAUAAUAUUGACAUGGGAUGCAUGGUGAACUUAUUUUCUCCAAUCAAACAUUGUCCUUUAAUGCAUAAAGUCGACCACCUUACCAUCAUAGAGUUUAGCUAUAUUUUCUUAUGUCCUGCAAAACCUUUGUGGUAUCAGUCCGCAAAGAAUUAGCAAAAAAGAAACCUUGUGCGGUCCACAAAGGACCUACAUAAGAGAGAUUGGUAACGUCAAAUGCGGCAGACAAUUCACGUCUCGUACAACUGAGAUUAAAACAAUUCUAGUGUCUCGUACAAACAUGAUUAAAACAAUUCGACAAACACUUGAGGGACACCUUGAAGGACUUCAAACACUUCAAAAGACAGCCACAGGUCCACAAUAGCCACUUAACUGGGUGACCCAAACUUAACUCUCCAAAGCCCCACCCGAACCUAUGCCACCUAAGAAGGUUUAAAUGGGUUGAGAUGACUGACGUUUUGCACAGUGAAGUCAAAGCUCAAAAAUCAGUUCGUGAGGCCAAUUAUCAAAAAUGAUAUAGUAAUUGCAUUAUGGUGUCAUUCUUUUACAAACUGAUAUGCCAACAGACUACUUCUUGUGUCCGCAAAGUUUAAAAAGGUUACUUUUAGGUUGAUCCUUAAAAAGACAGUCGCAUGGAUUAUGCAUAACUUAGGCAAAUUUAGCUAAGUUAGUGACAAAAUGACGUAGGUGUUGUGGGUGCACAAUGCGCAGCUGACUGUGACAUUACUGUGUCUAAGAAGGUAUUCUUCAACUUUUCUUCUAUACUUACCUCCAUCAAAGAACAACAAAUAACCUUUAAAGGCUCGUGAAGUUCAAGAAAAAAACAUGUUUGCCAUUAACUUCAUAACAUGGCAUAAUGACAAAGUCUUUUUUAACUCUAGAAGUACAUGCCCAACAUCCCAUUUUAAGAUUCAUAAGAACCCUAGCAAUCAUAUGUUCAAGUCUCUGAAAAGAAGGCAAGUCAGAAAAGAUAAAUUGUUUGAAAAUUUAGACUAUUGAAACAAAAUUUUGAUUUGGCUGCAAGGCCCUAUGACCUUAUCUUUAUUGACUUAAACAUGUUUUAUGUUUCUUAUUUUUUUCCUUAAAAAUUAUGUUAAAACAUCUAUUUGCUCCUUCAAGAAUAUUUCAAGCUGCUAUAUCAAGUUACUCCUGAAGCCACCAUAAGACUGGUGUAGCCACAGGCCAAUUAGAUCAAUCUAUGAAACACCGCUAUCCUCUUAUACUCUCCCCUAACUUAGCCACCUUCACAAAACAUGUUAUGAUUCUGAGCCAUUUUGCAUUAUGUCAUCAUUAUGCAUGAAAUAUGCAAAACACUCACAGAAAUUCCAUAAAGAACUUAACAUGUUCACAUUAAAAAAAAAAAGAG
rnacentral:lncRNA from 1 species